rnacentral:rRNA from 1 species
AACGAACGCUGGCGGCGUGCCUAACACAUGCAAGUCGAACGGGAAAACCCGCAAGGGUGAGUACAGUGGCGCACGGGUGCGUAACACGUGGGUAAUCUGCCCAGAAGCCCGGAAUAACUCCCCGAAAGGGGUGCUAAUGCCGGAUGAGACCACGGGGACUUCGGUUCCUGGGGGAAAAGGUGGCCUCUGUAUACAAGCUAUCACUUCUGGAUGAGCCCGGGGCCCAUCAGCUAGUUGGCGGGGUAAUGGCCCACCAAGGCUACGACGGGUAGCUGGUCUGAGAGGACGAUCAGCCACACUGAAACUGAGACACGGUCCAGACUCCUACGGGAGGCAGCAGUGGGGAAUCUUGCGCAAUGGGCGAAAGCCUGACGCAGCAACGCCGCGUGUGUGAUGAAGGUCUUCGGAUCGUAAAGCACUGUCGGGAGGGACGAAUAAGGGCCGGGUGAACAAUCCGGUUCGACGACGGUACCUCCAGAGGAAGCACCGGCUAACUCUGUGCCAGCCGCCGCGGUAAUAC